AAGGGUAUAUAUAAAAGAUUAAAUAAUAGAAUACAAAUUAAAUAUUACAAAAUAUGGACGGAUGUGGAAAAGUAGGUAAGGAUGUGUGAAAAUCACAAUCCGAAUUGAAUUAUUCAGAUUCUCACUUUUCUCACUCCGUCUCUCUCAGUUGCCGGCCGUCCACUCCUCCUCCUCUCCAAUCUCUCUCACGAUCUCACCUCCACCACAACCAUUAUGACUUCGUCUUCUCUCAUGGCCAGGAACUUGAUGUUAUGAAGCAAACACUGGAACCAUUAGAUUCUACCCUUCCUAGAUCAGUCCUGGCCCCUGAAGCUACUGUGGUCAAUAUGGAAGACAUGCCACCAUUGCCAUCUUAACCACCAAUGCAAUGGAGGAUGGAAAUACAACAUGCUUCCCUUUUUUCACAGAGAGAAUUGGUUGGAGUUGGUCUGGAUUCUUUGCUGCCAAUCCAGCCAUCGGAAUCAGUUGAGAAAGCUCAAUUUGAUAUGCCAGCACCACAGGACCUAGUAGAUUUACCAGGAGACUUACAAGAAGGAUUUAGUUGACUAAGACUACUCAACUUCCAAAUCCAGUUGGUUAUUUCACCAUGAAUCAGAAGAUGAGUUUGAGAUGGCUGCAAAAGCAUCGGUUGACAUGGCUAUAGUAGAAGGGCAAGGAGAUUGACGGCAAAGAUCCACCACCUUCACCUCCACAGUAGCACCAUCCUUGCAGGGCAUAUUAGCAGGGACGGAUCUACAGAGGGUCCUGGGAGGUCCCAGGACCCCUCGGCCAUCCUAAAAUGUUGCUAGAAAUUUUCCGGAGGACCCCUCGUACUCGAACACGAGGCCUGUGCUGCUGUGCAGAUUGUCUGUGUUGCUGCAGCAACAGGUUGCAGUUUGCAACGGAGAAGAAGAAAACAGGGGAGAAGAAAGAAAACAGGGCAUUAAAAAAAAGGGUCCAAAACGCAGUGUUUUGGCCCUUUUUUUUUUUUUUUUUUUUUUAAUUAAACCAAUGAAAUCAACGGUUGCAAUUGGUCCACCUUUGCAACAUGAUUACAUAUUAUUUUUGAAAGUCUAGCCCCACAUCCUGUCGUCCCUUUCACUUCUUCUUUACCCGUGCCUUCCACUGCUUUUCCCCCUAAUCCCCCAUCUUUCUUAUAUUCACCCAAAACCCUAAAUUUCUAAUCCCACCCAAUCCCAUAUUAUAAUUACAUUACUCCAAUAUUAUACCUCCACUUGUUUAAAUUCUCCAAGCCACCACUAUUUGGUUCCAAAUUCAAGUAAGUUUUUUGGUAUUCUAAUCUAAUCUCAAUUAAAUUAUAUUAGAUAUUGGUGGAGAUUUUUAGUCUAUUAUUGAUAUGAUUGUUGAUGUGUUUUAUGUUUGUAUACUCAUUUUAUAAUUGAAAUUUGGAUGGAAUUUUUUUUUAACCUUUAUUAUUGGGACCCCCCGAGUUUAAAAUCCUGGAUCCGCCACUGCAUAUUAGGUCCACUCAGGCACCUAAUUUUAUAGAGCCUUCCACACGCAGAACCACCGUCCCACAACCCUUCACUCACCGCCACAAAAAGGUACAUCGGAGGGAACUGGUCUGGCCUACUCCCAAAGCAUUUUGUUGCUGCACAACAAUUACAAUAAUGGCAUAAGAAAAGCUAAUUGUCA